UACGAACCGUCCAAACGUUAUUCGGAAUUACUGAGCUUAAAGAGUUCGUAGGCGGUUGGGAAAGUUGGGUGUGAAAGCCCUCGGCUUAACCGAGGAAUUGCGCUCAAAACUACCUGACUAGAGGAAGAUAGAGGUGAGCAGAACUGAUGGUGGAGCGGUGAAAUGCGUUGAUAUCAUCAGGAAUACCGGAGGCGAAGGCGGCUCACUGGGUCUUUUCUGACGCUGAGGAACGAAAGCUAGGGGAGCAAACGGG
rnacentral:rRNA from 1 species